AGGCACUGUACUCAGUCCUGGAGUUAAAGGGGUCGAGAAGACAGGCAGAUAUGUCUCCACCUUCAUGGAAUUUAGGCACCCAGCGGAAGAUAAUACUUACAUGGAGACAACAACCUGCCCAGUUGUGGGACUUUCUGUAGUAGAAGAGCAGCCUGGUUUAAGCACUGAGAAAGCCUUCAUUUCAGGAAAAAAAUAUUUAGGAGGGACAGUAUCAGAAACCCAAGGAGAGAACCAAAUUACAAAACACUGAGAAGUUAAAACACGAAGGGAUUUUGCACAACAGAAGACUUGAUGUCAGUGGCCUUUCCUGUCUUUUGUGAAAGCUUAAGCCCUCUGAAGAAAUUAUGCCAGGUGUUCCGGAGAGGGAAGAGAGAGAAGUGACUUUCAAGGAAACCAGGGGAAUGAGGAAUGACCAUCGCACUUUCGCCAUUCACUACCUUUCUGUGCACCUCACCUAAGACCCAUUCCAGUACUCCAGGAACACCACCUGCCACCAUCCCGAAGCAGGGAGACACCAGCCUCCGCUUUAUGUCAUCUGCCCACAUUUCACUAGGGAAGUCUUGGAAGAACUCUGCCUUUGGGAAAGCAGAUGUGCGUUGAAUUGGACCUCCUUCUGCACAGGGAGGUGAGGUAGAGAGGGGUACUUACUGCGUCAAUAAUAACAUCAUCUACAUGUCCCCUAUCACAUGCCAACUGCUUUUCAA